UACGUAGGGUGCGAGCGUUGCCCGGAUUUAUUGGGCGUAAAGGGUGCGUAGGCGGCUUCUUAAGUCAGUGGUGAAAUCCUGCAGCUCAACUGUAGAACAGCCAUUGAUACUGAGAAGCUUGAGUACAGACGAGGUAGGCGGAAUUUAUGGUGUAGCGGUGAAAUGCAUAGAUACCAUAAAGAACACCUAUUGCGAAGGCAGCUUACUAGGCUGUAACUGACGCUGAGGCACGAAAGUGUGGGGAUCAAACAGG
rnacentral:rRNA from 1 species